UUCCGGUUGUACCUGCCGGAGGCUACUGCUAUUGGAAUCCGAUUAAGCCAUGCGAGUCUAAAGGACUUCGGUCCUUGGCGGACGGCUCAGUAACACGUGGAGAACCUGCCCUCAGGAGGGGGAUAACCCCGGGAAACUGGGAAUAAUACCCCAUAGGUCUAGGAUGCUGGAAUGCUUCUAGGCUGAAAGCUCCGGCGCCUGAGGAUGGCUCUGCGGCUUAUCAGGUUGUAGUGAGGGUAACGUCCUCACUAGCCUAUGACGGGUACGGGCCCUGAGAGGGGAAGCCCGGAGAUGGACUCUGAGACACGAGUCCAGGCCCUACGGGGCGCAGCAGGCGCGAAAACUCCGCAAUGCUCGAAAGAGUGACGGGGGGAUUCCAAGUGCCUACGCUCAGCGUAGGCUGUUCAGAUGCCUAAAAAGCAUCUGGAGUAAGGGCUGGGUAAGACGGGUGCCAUCUGUGGCAGCAGCCGAAAAUUUGGCUUGCUACUGCAAGGCAUAAGCCGCCGCGGUAAUACCCGCAGCUCGAGUGGUAGUCGAUUUUAUUGGGCCUAAAGCGUCCGUAUCCGGUCUGGUAAAUGCUUGGGUAAAUCGUCUGGCUUAACCAGAUGAAUUCCGGGUAGACUACCAGACUUGGGGACCGGUUGAGGAAGAGGGUACUUUCAGGGGGGUAGGAGUGAAAUCCUGUAAUCCUUGAAGGACCACCAGUGGGCGAAGGCGCUCUUCUAGGACGGGUCCGACGGUGAGGGACGAAAGCCAGGGGAGCAAACCGGAUUAGAUACCCGGGUAGUCCUGGCCGUAAACGAUGUGGGCUUGGCAUUGGGGGUUCUACGUGAGCGCCCAGUGUCGUAGCGAAGGMGKUAAGCCCACCGCCUGGGAAGUAUGGUCGCAAGGCUGAAACUAAAGGAAU
rnacentral:rRNA from 1 species